GAUGACAUCCCGCAGCCAGAAGAACGGGCUGCUUUCUUCACACUCCUUGAAGACGAGCACAUCCAGUCCUUUCUAGCCAGGGACAGCUGCCUUAAGAUCUCGGACAAGUAUCUCCUGGCCAUGGUCCUCACGUACUUUAGAAGAGCAAACCUGCGUACUGAGGAAUACAGGACUUACUUCUUCCCAAGUCU